UUCAUACUCCCUUCAUUUCGAAUUACUUGUCGCAGGUAUGGAUGUAUCUAGAUGUAUUUUACUUCUAGAUACAUUCAUUUCUGCGCGAGUAAUUUGAAACGGAGGGAGUAGUUA
rnacentral:pre_miRNA from 1 species